UACGGGGGGGGCAAGCGUUGUUCGGAAUUACUGGGCGUAAAGCGUGCGCAGGCGGCGAUGUAAGUCAGAUGUGAAAUCCCCGGGCUCAACCUGGGAACUGCAUUUGUGACUGCAUCGCUGGAGUGCGGCAGAGGGGGAUGGAAUUCCGCGUGUAGCAGUGAAAUGCGUAGAUAUGCGGAGGAACACCGAUGGCGAAGGCAAUCCCCUGGGCCUGCACUGACGCUCAUGCACGAAAGCGUGGGGAGCAAACAGG
rnacentral:rRNA from 1 species